rnacentral:rRNA from 1 species
AACGCGAAGAACCUUACCUGGGUUUGACAUACGGAGGAGCCGCGCGGAGACGCGCGGGCGCAGCAAUGCGCCUCUGAACAGGUGCUGCAUGGCUGUCGUCAGCUCGUGCCGUGAGGUGUUGGGUUAAGUCCCGCAACGAACGCAACCCCUGCGUCCAGUUGCCAUCACUCAGCUGGGAACUCUGGACGGACCGCCCGUUUUACGCGGGAGGAAGGUGGGGAUGACGUCAAGUCAGUAUGGCCCUUACGCCCAGGGCCGCACACGUGCUACAAUGGCCGGUACAGAGGGACGCGAUGCCGCGAGGCGGAGCUAAUCCCAGAGAGCCGGCCCCAGUUCGGAUCGCGGUCUGCAACCCGACCCCGUGAAGUCGGAUUUGCUAGUAACGGCGCAUCAACUACGGCGCCGUGAAUGCGUUCCCGGGUCUUGUACACACCGA